rnacentral:lncRNA from 10 species
CCGGCAACGGCGGCCGUUCGGACUGCGGACUGCGGCACGCGGGCCGGGCGCCGGGAGGGCGGGGGUUCCCCGGAGGAGCUGGCCGCCCCGGCGCCCCAUUGGGCGCUGCUCCAAACGUGCCCGAGUGGUGACAGGAAUAAAGUGGGUCACAAGGCCUAGCGGGUCCCCAGCGAAAGCUCUCUCGGCACCCGGUCCCCGUCUUUCCCCGCCUCCCAGCUGCUGGAAUCGGCCGCAGCUCCGGGCGCCCUCAAGCCGCCCGGCCCCGCCGUGCACCCCACUCCCGCCCCUGCCCCGCAGUGACAGUGUAAUGGAAGAUGGAGAAUGAAGCAUCAGAAAUAAACCAGGACCCUAAUUUGCAUGGAUUUCCUCGUUGGAACAACGUGUGACUACUACUUAUCUUCGGGAAAUUACUUAUCUUGAUGCGUUAAGGCACAUUUGGUCCACAUGAGAAAGCACAUUUCAGUGCUUCUACUGGAAAAGAGAUCUUUACAGUCUUAAUUCCUAGUAAUUCCUAUGUUUUAAUGAAUAUCUUUUGGAUUUGAAAUAAAAGCCAUCUUUUUCUUUCAAAAAAUGCACUUUUCUGGCCGUAAAAUCCUCCCUUUAAAGUAACAGUCACCUCAGUAAACAUUUUCAAUUCUUGCUGUAUGCUCUGG